rnacentral:rRNA from 1 species
UACGUAGGGUGCAAGCGUUAAUCGGAAUUACUGGGCGUAAAGCGUGCGCAGGCGGUUUUGUAAGUCUGUCGUGAAAGCCCCGGGCUCAACCUGGGAAUUGCGAUGGAGACUGCAAGGCUUGAAUCUGGCAGAGGGGGGUAGUAUUCCACGUGUAGCAGUGAAAUGCGUAGAGAUGUGGAGGAACACCGAUGGCGAAGGCAGCCCCCUGGGUCAAGAUUGACGCUCAUGCACGAAAGCGUGGGGAGCAAACAGG